rnacentral:rRNA from 1 species
AUCCCAGACUCCUACGGGAGGCAGCAGUCGGGAAUAUUGCGCAAUGGGGGAAACUCUGACGCAGUGACGCCGCGUAUAGGAAGAAGGUUUUCGGAUUGUAAACUAUUGUCGUUAGGGAAGAUAAAAGACUGUACCUAAGGAGGAAGCCCCGGCUAACUAUGUGCCAGCAGCCGCGGUAAUACAUAGGGGGCAAGCGUUAUCCGGAAUUAUUGGGUGUAAAGGGGGCGCAGACGGCAGCGCAAGCCAGGAGUGAAAGCCCGGGGCCCAACCCCGGGACUGCUCUUGGAACUGCGCGGCUGGAGUGCAGGAGGGGCAGGCGGAAUUCCUGGUGUAGCGGUGAAAUGCGUAGAUAUUAGGAGGAACACCAGUGGCGAAGGCGACUUUCUGGACGAUAACUGACGUUGAGGCACGAAAGUGUGGGGAGCAAACAGGAUUAGAUACCCGCGUAA